rnacentral:rRNA from 1 species
AGAACGAACGCUGGCGGCAUGCCUAAUACAUGCAAGUCGAACGAAGGCUUCGGCCUUAGUGGCGCACGGGUGCGUAACGCGUGGGAAUCUGCCCCUUGGUUCGGAAUAACAGUUGGAAACGACUGCUAAUACCGGAUGAUGACGAAAGUCCAAAGAUUUAUCGCCAAGGGACGAGCCCGCGUAGGAUUAGCUAGUUGGUGAGGUAAAGCUCACCAAGGCGACGAUCCUUAGCUGGUCUGAGAGGAUGAUCAGCCACACUGGGACUGAGACACGGCCCAGACUCCUACGGGAGGCAGCAGUAGGAAUAUGGACAAUGGGAGAAAGCCUGAUCCAGCAAUGCCGCGUGAGUGAUGGAAGCUUAGGUAGUAAAGCUCUUUACCGAGAUGAUAAUGACAGAGUACGGAGAAAUAACGCCCGGUACUAACUCGUCGCAGCAAGCCGC